CCUUAACAUGCAUAAGAUGCAACUCAGUGUGUUUAAUGUUUGGUCUCCAAAGCUGAGUGAUGUGCUCCACAAGAAGACCUACUUUAUCAAAUACCCGAGACACAUCUUAGAGACUAAGGUGUGAAAGAAUGAAUGAGUGAAAAUGUUUUAAUAAAAGGAAACUAGAAAUCAAAUAUUUGUAUAAGGACAGAUUUGAGGUUUUUCUGUACUUUUAAUGAGCUAGAAAAUGCAUACUAUAAAUAGAAUAUACAAAUGAUUUUACACAAAUGAAGCAUUAAAAAUCACAAAUCUUAUAUUUGGUUAUCCACAGUCUAUAAAAUAAUGUUCCCAAAUUAUAUAGUUUAAAAUACACAAUGUUUCAAGUUGCAAGACAAAACCAGGGUAGUUUUGGCCCUAAAUCAUAGCUAACAUAAGUAGGAAUUAUAAUUAAUUUUAUAAUUGUGUUUAAAUUUUAAAUACUCUAGAAUCUGAAAAUAUUAAAUAUUAAAUAGAUGGAGGGAUCAAAUUAUCAAGUUUUUUAACAAAAUUGAGGUAAAAAUCUGCAUUAAAUUACACCAAGAAAAACAUUUCUAAAACAUUGUUUCCAUAACUCAUUAUAAAUAUUUCAUCUUCCGAAAGUACUCUUUGAUUACCUCUGGCCUUCUGGGUCUGGUAAUUAAGUUGACUUAAUAUUUGCACAUAGCUACUGAUUACUCAAUACAGGCCUAUCAGAUAAAACUAAAAUGCUGCAACUUAAUCAGAAUGAUGCAAUCUUGUCUUAUAUAAAUAUACAAAUCACAGUAUGCUGACACUAGAUAACUUCAGCUUUAUUUGCCAAAGGGGAUUUAGAAUAUACUACAAAAUUGUAUAUAAAAUAACCCUUUACAAGGAUUUACUAGGAUGACUGCAAAGAAAGGCAAAUUAAAUAUACCUGGUCCCAUAUAAGAAUUGUUGCCUAACCUCAUAUACUAAUUUGAAUAUGAAGACUCACUUUUUAUUUCUUAUUUUUUUGAAACAGGGUCUCGCUCUGUCACCCAGGCUGGAGUGCAGUGGUGUGAUCUCAGCUCACUGCAACCUCUGCCUCUUGGGUUCAAGCGAUUCUCCUACCUCAGCCUCACAAGUAGCUGGGACUACAGGCGUGCACCACCAUGCCUGGCUAAUUUUUUGUAUUUUUAGUAGAGAAGGGGUUUCUCCAUGUUGGUCACACUGGUUUUGAACUCCUAAUCUCAGGUGAUCCACCCGCCUCGGACUCCCAAAGUGCUGGGAUUACAGGUGUGAGCCACCGCACCUGGCCUGAAUAUAAAGACUCAUUUUAAAUUAUACUAGUUGAACCUUUAUACUACAAUGUAUCCUGGCACUUAUUUUUUUUAAACCAUUAUCAGAUAUUUCAUGUUCUACUAGUAAAGGGAAUUCGCAUUUUCAAUGUCCUGUCUGCAUUCCUCCUAGCCUCUCUCUGCUCAGGUUUUGGAAAAUAGAUCUUUCAAAUGCAAUUGCAGUAAAGCAGUCUAGAUGGCUGGGGAAAGGUAAAAGAACCCCGGUUGUGAUUAUUUUUUUCUAACAAAAUGGAAUUAAAAGAUGAGAAAACCUCGUAGUAUUUUAGUCUGGUACUUUUAGCAUCCCCAACUUUUAAGAUUAUAAAUUCACAAUAGUGAACACCCUAGUGACAACUUUUAAAUAAAAUACUGGAUAGCUGGGCGCAGUGGCUCACACCCGUAAUCCCAGCACUUUGGGAGGCCGAGGCGUGUAGAUCACUUGAGGUCAAGAGUUCAAGACCAACCUGGCCAACAUGGUAAAACCUCCUCUCUACUAUAAAUACAAAAAAUUAGCUGGGCGUGGUGGUGCAUGUCUGUAAUCCCAGCUAUUCGGGAGGCUGAGGCAGGAGAAUCACUUGAACCCAGGAGGCAGAGGUUAGAGUGAGCCGAGAUCGUGCCACUGCACUUCAGCCUGGGCAAUGGAGUGAGACUCUGUCUCAAAAAAAAUAAAAAAUAAAAAAUAAAAUACUGCAUAAUUACAUGCUAUAGUAAAUUAAUCAUACACUCAAAAUUUUAGCUUGGAUUUGUUUUGCAACUGAUUUGAUGCUGUCUGAAAAUCAAGAUCAAGCAGGUGAUGAAAACUAUACCUUUUGAACAUGCAUUAGGUAACCAGGGGGCAACAGAGUAGGGACUAAUAAGGCCAGCAACUCAGGGAAAUUAGCCUAUUCAUCUGAUAUAUUUGGCCUCCAUAAAACUGCCAUGGAUUCCAACUGUACUCAAAUAUAAUACAACUUCUUCAAUGCUGCUUUAUAAAUCUGACUGAAAACCUUAUUUAAGGAGUCAAGAUGCUGAACACCCUAACAAAAGCAAAAACAAAAUUACGGCCUAUGUGGUGUUUGGCAUUGUCUCUGGAACUACAAAACUACGGCCUAUGUGGUGUCACUGUUAUUACCACUCUUUACAAAGCACUAAGCACACACAGGUGUUUGGCAUUGUCUCUGGAACUACAAAAUUAAACUUUUAGAAUCACAGCAUUUUACACCUGAGAGGAAUCUUAAAAGAUACUGAAUUUCGCUUCUCACUUUAUAGCUGAGAAGAGUGAGGGAAGGACGGACCAUGGGAGUCAGCAUUUUUCAAGCAUCCAGGCACGCUGGGCCUGGUAUUUCAAUUAGAGUUUCUCAUUCUCACAGUCUCAGGCAGGUUGCAUUAACCUCCACUUCACAGCUAAGUAAAUGCGGAUCUACCAGAUUGAAUAAUCUCCCCCAAAUAAAUUCACUAAUGAGGAACAGAAGGAAUCCAACGUCAGAGUUAGUGCUCUUCUCAGAGUAAUAAUCUGCAAAGUGUGGUCCUGGGACCAGCAGCUGGGGCAUUACCUGGACGCUUGUUAGAAAGGCAAAUUACCAGGCCCACCAUCCCCACCGCCAGACCUACUGAAUCAGAAACUCUAGGGUGGCCCCCAGCAAUCAAGUUUUUGGUUUUGUUUUUUUAACAGACAGGGUCUCACUUUGCUGCCCAGGCUGGACUGCAGUGGCCCAAUAAUAACUCACUGCAGCCUCGAACUCCUGGGUUCAAGUGAUCCUCCUGCCUCAGACUCCCAAGCAGCUCAGACUACAGGUAUGCACUACCAUGCCUGUUUGUUUUUUGUUUUUGUUUUUGUAGAGACAGGGGUCUUGCUGUAUUGCCCAGCCUGAUCUUGAACUCCUGGGCUCACGUGAUCCUCCUGCCUCAGUCUCCCAAAGCACUGGAAUUACAGGCAUGAGCCUGUGUUCUCCCCUCUCUUCCAAUAAUGUGUAUUCAACAAGGCCUUCAGGUGAUGCUGAUGCUGUCUGAAAGCCACUGCUCUCCAGCAUGUGGUCUCUGAAACUUUACUUAGGAGUAUGCAUAUUAAAAUAUAUAUAUAACUUAACACUAUGCUACUACAAAGGGCAAAAUAAUUCACUUUAUUGUACUUUAUUUUAGAAUAAUUAAGACAAGGAUAGGCUUCAAUGAAAUUUUGCUUUGAUGUUACAUGGUCUGACUGACACUGGAUUUCUUCAUAAGAAAAAUAAAUGUGAAAGCUAUUCCAAGUAAGCAAAUGGUGGCAAAAACAAUCUAAAGAAUUGGUUUUAGCCAGGCAUGGUGGCUCAUGCCUGUAAUCCCAGCACUUUGGGAGGCCAGGGCGGGCAGAUUACUUGAGCUCAGGAGUUCAAGAGCAGCCUGGCCAACAUGGUGAAACCCCAUCUCUACUAAAAACACAAAAAUUAGGCAAUAUAGCAAGACCCCAUCUCUACCAAAAAUACAAAAAAACUAAUCAGGAAUGGGGGCACAUGCCAGUAGUCCCAACUACUCAGGAGACUGAGGUGGGAGGAUGGCUUGAGCUUGGGAGGUUGCAGUGAGCCAAGAUCCUGCCACUGCACUCCAGCCUGGGUGACAGAGUGAGACCCCAUCUCAAAAAAAAAAAAAGAAUUUCAUCUCAUGUCAAAAAUAAGACUCUUGGACAGAAAUCUUCUGCCUGCCUUCCAAGGACCCACUGAAAUUAAUGGAUACUCUCACAUGACUGACUUUAUUAUUAAAUACUUGCUGUAAUCACAACUAGGCAUAGGAAAAUCAAGUAGAGAAAUACUGAAUGCCUAGCAUACAACGAUCUAAGUGAAAGUUAAUAAAAGUAGCUCUUCAGAAAGACAUCUCAUGUAAAAUUAAAUUUAAAACUAAAAAUUUCAUGAAGUGACCUGUUAAGAGUUUCAAUUUAGAAGCUUUACUUUUCUAAUUUUAAAAUAUCAUGAAUGAAAUGGUGUCUUCAUCUAGGUGCUUCUCCAUCAAAAUCCCUAGCUCAAAAAUAAAAAUCAUGUUUGUGUCACCCCAGAUUCAAAAUGCUGUUAUUGGAAAUGUUACCAUUUCACAUGAACAUUCCAGUAAAUAUGCACAUAGAGGGUACUCAUUACUUUUGGUUGGUAAUUUUUCCUUAAAUAUAUUUCAAUGAUUUCAUUGUUUGACAUUUUCAUAGUUAACGUAUACUGAAUACAGAAAAUUUUGUAGGAAAACACUAUUUUUUAAAUGUAGUAACAUUAAAAUAUUAAAAUAUCCCGUUUAUUAAAGGCUCUUAAGAUUUAAAGAAAAAUUUCCUGUGCACAUACAAUGUACCUAUGAAAUACUGUAUUAUUAGUUAUUGUACAGGCAAAUGAGGCUGUUACUAUAAAAAAAAUGUGGUGUCUAAAAAUUGCAAGUCUAUGUGAAAAAUCAACCUCAAUUUAUCUAAAUGGGAUUUGGGGGACACGGCAGACUAUUAAAAUAGAACUCAAACUUCAAAUUCUGUAAACUGAACAUCUCAUUAAUGCCACUUCACCAUUUAAAAAAGUCAGCACACAAUGUUAGCUAUGUAAGUUUAUCUGCAGAUGUUACAGGUAAUUAUUUCUGUUAACUCCUCCUAAAAUAUUAUUUAGUAAUAAAGAAUAUUUCAAAAGGAGAGUAGGUAGAAACGAAGAUCAUAACUAUACUUACUUAAUAUGAAAAUGACAUUUCAUUUAUUUGCUAAUAUGUGGAAAAAAAUUUUCUAAUUAAUUCCUCCUUUAUCCUUCUUUAAAAACAUUUUAUUUCUUCAACCAGCACACUGAGGAUUAGUGCUAUGGGUAUUACCACAGUGCCCUGUGAAAAGACUUGGCUUCCAGAGAAGUCAUACCUUGCAUACCCUGGAGUCAUACCUCAAAUUGGCUCUGCAUGAUUGAUUUUACAGCGGGCAUUAAAAUUCUUCUGAAACAAGGCUGUGUACCUUUGAGAACAUUCACAUUUAACCUUGUGAGCUCACUUCUACAAGAACAAUGAACUUAUUUGUCAGCUGCCAGGGGGAAAAUCAGCUUAAUGUAAAGAAUUAAUUAAAUCAGGUUGACAGAAGCCAAUAUCUCAAUGUUUUUAAAUUAAAAUUUAUUUAAAGGAAUAAGUAUGGGUGCAUUACAUAAACCUAAUGGUUCUUCUAAGCUUCAAAAAGCAUUCAUUUCAAAAGUAUUCACUUUUUUUUUUUUUGAGACGGAGUCUCGCUGUCGCCCAGGCUGGAGUGCAGGGGCACGAUCUCGGCUCACUGCAGGCUCCGCCUCCCGGGUUCACGCCAUUCUGCUGCCUCAGCCUCCCGAGCAGCUGGGACUACAGGCGCCGCCACCACGCCCGGCUAAUUCUUUGUAUUUUUAGUAGAGACGGGGUUUCACUGUGUUAACCAGGAUGGUCUCGAUCUCCUGACCUCGUGAUCCGCCCGCCUCGGCCUCCCAAAGUGCUGGGACUACAGGCGUGAGCCACCACGCCCGGCCCAAAAGCAUUUACUGUUAAGGCUGCCUCAUUUUUCAGCUUUGUUGUAGUUGAGAUUCUGAUGUUCACCUAACAAAGUCCCUGACAAAACAGACUUCCUUCAAUCCAGGUCAUAAUUUGAAACGUUAUACAAUAAUGAGAUUUAAGUGAUGAAUGGAAAGAAAAGAAGGAGACUGAAAAGAUAUCAGAAAUUUCUAUUUGUUUUUAGAUUCAGAAAAAUAUAAUUACAGGCCAACAUGGGUCUGACAGAGAGGAAGGACGUCAGCAGUUAC
rnacentral:lncRNA from 1 species